rnacentral:tRNA from 1 species
GCCACUUUAGCUCAGUUGGUAGAGCAACGGUUUCGUAAACCGUAGGUCACAGGUUCAAGUCCUGUAAGUGGCACCA